rnacentral:ncRNA from 1 species
AUAAUGAUACUCCCGUCUUGAACGCGUCACGGCAUUGGGCGGCUGCAUGAGAACCAUGCAGGGGUGAGAUUCCCGUG